rnacentral:tRNA from 1 species
AUCAUUAUGGCAGAUUAGUGCACUGGAUUUAAAAUCCAAAUAUAGUUAAUACUUAUUGAUA